rnacentral:ncRNA from 2 species
UAGCCCACCUCGGGGCGUCCGAAAGGGCUGAGAUGCACGAUGCGAACCCGUUGAACCUGACCCGGUUAACACCGGCGGAGGGAAGGUGACGGCAUCAGGC